rnacentral:rRNA from 1 species
UACGUAGGGGGCAAGCGUUGUCCGGAUUUAUUGGGCGUAAAGAGCGUGUAGGCGGCCAGACAGGUCCGUUGUGAAAACUCGAGGCUCAACCUCGAGACGCCGAUGGAAACCGUCUGGCUAGAGUCCGGAAGAGGAGAGUGGAAUUCCUGGUGUAGCGGUGAAAUGCGCAGAUAUCAGGAAGAACACCCGUGGCGAAGGCGGCUCUCUGGGCCGGAACUGACGCUGAGGAGCGAAAGCGUGGGAGCGAACAGG